AUAUUUUAAAGAAAUAAUCUUCCCUAAUAUCUUCAAUAUUAUGCUCUAAAUAUAAGCUACUAAAAUA
rnacentral:tRNA from 1 species